rnacentral:rRNA from 1 species
GCCUCAGUAACGGCGAGUGAAGCGGCAACAGCUCAAAUUUGAAAUCUGGCUUCUAUGAGGCCCGAGUUGUAAUUUGUAGAGGAUGCUUUUGGUGCGGCGCCGUCCGAGUUCUCUGGAACGAGACGCCAUAGAGGGUGAGAGCCCCGUCUGGUCGGAUGCCUAGCCUCUGUAAAGCUCCUUCGACGAGUCGAGUAGUUUGGGAAUGCUGCUCAAAUUGGGAGGUAUAUGUCUUCUAAAGCUAAAUACCAGCCAGAGACCGAUAGCGCACAAGUAGAGUGAUCGAAAGAUGAAAAGCACUUUGAAAAGAGGGUUAAAUAGUACGUGAAAUUGCUGAAAGGGAAGCGCUUGCAACCAGACGUGGACGCGCCCAAUCACUUGCUGUUUUCCAGCAGCGCACUUGGGCGCUUUGUUCAGGCCAGUAUCGGUUUGCUGCAGGGGAUAAAGACACUGGGAACGUAGCCUCUUUUGAGGUAUCUUAUAGCCCUGUGUGCAAUGCCCUGCAUGCAGACCGAGGUACGCGCUUCUGCAAGGAUGCUGGCGUAAUGGUUGUUAGUGACCCGUCUUGAAACACGGACCAAGGAGUCGUCCUCGUAUGCGAGUGUUUGGGUGUGUAAAACCCUUGCGCACAAUGAAAGUGAACGUAGGUGAGAGCUCCUCUGGAGUGCAUCACCGACCGAUCCUGAUGUUCUCGGAUGGAUUUGAGUAAGAGCAUACGGGGCCGGACCCGAAAGAAGGUGAACUAUGCCUGCGUAGGGUGAAGCCAGAGGAAACUCUGGUGGAGGCUCGCAGCGGUUCUGACGUGCAAAUCGAUCGUCAAACGUGGGCAUGGGGGCGAA